rnacentral:rRNA from 1 species
GGUUUGAUUAUGGCUCAGAUUGAACGCUGGCAGGAUGCUUUACACAUGCAAGUCGAACGGCAGCACGGACUUCGGUCUGGUGGCGAGUGGCGAACGGGUGAGUAAUGUAUCGGAACGUGCCUAGUAGCGGGGGGAUAACUACGCGAAAGCGUAGCUAAUACCGCAUACGCCCUUCGGGGGAAAGCGGGGGACCCUCGGGCCUCGCACUAUUAGAGCGGCCGAUAUCGGAUUAGCUGUGGUGGGGUAACGGCUCACCAAGGCGACGAUCCGUAGCUGGUUUGAGAGGACGACCAGCCACACUGGGACUGAGACACGGCCCAGACUCCUACGGGAGGCAGCAGUGGGGAAUUUUGGACAAUGGGGGAAACCCUGAUCCAGCCAUCCCGCGUGUGCGAUGAAGGCCUUCGGGUUGUAAAGCACUUUUGGCAGGAAAGAAACGGCACGGGAUAAUACCCCGUGCAACUGACAGUACCUGCAGAAUAAGCACCGGCUAACUACGUGCCAGCAGCCGCGGUAAUACGUAGGGUGCAAGCGUUAAUCGGAAUUACUGGGCGUAAAGCGUGCGCGGGCGGUUCCGGAAAGAAGAUGUGAAAUCCCAGAGCUUAACUUUGGAACUGCAUUUUUAACUACCGAGCUAGAGUGUGUCGGAAGUGGAAUUCCGCGUGUAGCAGUGAAAUGCGUAGAUAUGCGGAGGAAACACCGAUGGCGAAGGCAGCCUCCUGGGAUGGCUACUGACGCUCAUGCAAGCGUGAGGCAAACGGGAUUAGAUACCCUGGUAGUCCACGCCCUAAACGAUGUCAACUAGCUGUUGGGGCCUUCGGGCCUUGUGCUUCCAGCUAACGCGUGAAGUUGACCGCGCAAGUACGGUCGCAAGAUUAAAACUCAAAGGAAUUGAAGGCAGGGACCCGCACAAGCGGUGGAUGAUGUGGGUUAAUUCGAUGCAACGCGAAAACCUUACCUACCCUUGACAUGUCUGGAAUCCCGAAGAGAUUUGGGGAGUGCUCGCAAGAGAACCGGAACACAGGUGCUGCAUGGCUGUCGUCAGCUCGUGUCGUGAGAUGUUGGGUUAAGUCCCGCAACGAGCGCAACCCUUGUCAUUAGUUGCUACGAAAGGGCACUCUAAUGAGACUGCCAGUGACAAACCGGAGGAAGAUUAAGGAUGACGUCAGAGUCCUCAUGGCCCUUAUGGGUAGGGCCACACGUCAUACAAUGGUCGGGACAGGGUCGCCAACCCGCGAGGGGGAGCCAAUCCCAGAAACCCGAUCGUAGUCCGGAUCGCAGUCUGCAACUCGACUGCGUGAAGUCGGAGAUCGCUAGUAAUGUCGCGGAUCAGCAUGUCGCAGUGAAUACGUUCCCGGGUCUUGUACACACCGCCGUCACACCAUGGGAGUGGGUUUUACCAGAAGUAGUUAGCCUAACCGUAAGGAGGGCAUUCACCACGUAAAGUUCAUGACUGGGGUGAAGUCGUAACAAGGUA